AUAUUUCAUCAAACCCAAGAAAAGUGAUUAGGAAAUACAUUUUUUUUUAAAGAUUUUAUUUAUUUAUUUGUCAGAGAGAGAGAGAGCGAGCGAGAGCGAGCACAGGCAGACAGAGUGAAAGGCAGAGGCAGAGGGAGAAGCAGGCUCCCUGUGGAGCAAGGAGCCCCAUGUGGGACUCGAUCCCAGGACGCUGGGAUCAUGACCUGAGCCGAAGGCAGCUGCUUAACCAACUGAGCCACCCAGGUGUCCCAGGAAAUACAUUUAUAAACUAUGUAAAUUCCGUUUGAUUAUAUUAUGUAAUCAUAGCUCCUUCAUUCUCCAAGUCUCUAACAUAAACAAGCAAGGGCCAGACUUAAUUAUUAUGAGGAUUUUGCCCUGAAUCCAUUUUUUUCUUUUGAUAAACCAGACUGGAUUAUGAAGACAACUUUUACAGUUUUCAUUAUUGGUUAGAAUAAGGAGUUUCUUUUCCGCAUAGACACACAUCCACUUAUUAUCCCAGUGGUAAGAAAUGGGAGCCAAGGGAGUUGGACUCAAGGAAGAUCAUGCCGUUUCAUUCACCCUGAAGACUUAGUACAAAACUGACUUACCCCUCUCACUCAAGACCAUUCUAGUGUAAAAAUAGCUUGCCUGCUAUAAUGGAAAAAGAGAUACAAUCAAGGAGGAAUAUUUGCUUGAGAUACAUUACCCUCUAAGCAGAAAGUUGAACCACCUCCAUGUAACAAUGGAAGCUUCAUUCCCAAGCACAAUACCUAAAGAAGAAUAUUCUUUUGGUUCUGACCUAUCAUUGAGCCAUCAGGGUUGAACAGGGCAGAGAGUCCUGCACUAACAAUAAAUGGAAGAAUGUCUCGAGAAUCCAUACUCUGUAGGAUAUUGUUAACCAUAUGAUGGACAGAGUAGUGAGUGGCACAGUAUUCCCUUUUGGGGGGACUUGCUGUCAAGAAAGUUUAUUCUGUGAAUGACACUAGUAUCUUCCCUGCUACUUUCAUUUAUUUUUACUAAUGUAGGACUUCAUAGAUACUUAAAAUUUAGACAUACCAAUUUGGACACAUAAAUAGGGCCUAAUGAUAUAGCUUGCUCUUUUGGAAAGAAAUACAGGGUUCUAGCAGCAGUUACUAAUAUUCAAUAGCUGAUCGUUAUGAGGAUUAGCAGUUGAUCUUCUAUAAUGAUGCAUAUUUUUAAAAUGAAGAUGAAGAGUACCUGGGUGGCUCAGCUGGUUAAGCCUCUGCCUUUGACUCAGGUCAGGAUCCCAGGUUCCCGAGAUUGAGCCCCACAUCACUGGACUCCCUGCUCAGCAGACUCCCUGCUUUGAGUCUGCUUCUCCCUCUGCCCUUCCCCUGGCUCAUGCUUUCUCUCUCUCUCUCCUAAAAUAAAUAAAUACAAUUUUUAAAAAAAUGAAGAUUCAUAUUCAUAUUCAUAUUCAUUGGUUCACCAUAGAAGUAAAGUUUUUUUUUUUUUUUUUUCUGAAGUGUAGUGUUUUCAGUGAAAUGAUUCUUAAUUUAUUGUGACCAUGAAUCACCUGAACUGUUAAUUAAAAAGGUAGAUUUUGGGAUGCCUGGGUGGCUCAGUCAUUUAAGCUUCUGACUCUUGGUUUUGGCUCAGGUCAUGAUCUCAGACUCAUGAGGUCCAGCCCCACAUCCAACUCUAUAUUCAGUUUUGAGUCUGCUUGAGAUUCUAUCCAUCCCUCUCCCUCUGCCUCUAUCCUGCUUAAGCUCUCUCUCUCUCCAAUAAAUGAAUAAAACCUUUUUUUUU